GACGAACCGUGCAAACGUUGUUCGGAAUCACUGGGCUUAAAGGGCGCGUAGGCGGACCACCAAGUCAGGGGUGAAAUCCUGCGGCUCAACCGUAGAAGUGCCUUUGAUACUGGUGGUCUCGAGGGAGGUAGGGGCGUGCGGAACUUCCGGUGGAGCGGUGAAAUGCGUAGAUAUCGGAAGGAACACCGGUGGCGAAAGCGGCGCGCUGGACCUCUUCUGACGCUGAGGCGCGAAAGCGUGGGGAGCAAACAGG
rnacentral:rRNA from 1 species